ACCCUGCCCCGGCCUCCCACCUCUGACUUCGCCUGAUAACAAACCAGAAACUGAAACAGAGUCAGGAUUCCCGGCUUGAAGUCAGAGAUGAGUCACAGCUAAGAGCAAGUGCAGUAGCUGAGAAGGGGCACCAGAGAGGCAGACGUGAGCCGAAGGCACCAGAGGUGGGCAGCGCAUCUUCGGGUCCUGGUGACACAUGGAGAGCGGCACCGAGGUGGUGGCCAUUGACUGCGAGAUGGUGGGGCUGGGGCCCCGAGGGGAGAGCGGCCUGGCUCGUUGCAGCCUCGUGGACCUCCACGGCACCGUGCUCUACGACAAGUUCAUCCGGCCGGAAGGGGAGAUCACUGAUUACAGGACCCUGAUCAGUGGGAUCACACCUUGGCACAUGCAGGAGGCCAUGCCAUUUGCCGUGGCCAGGCUGGAGAGUGGCCCCAAUGAUCCUGUGGUCGCCAAGGGAGAGCAUACCAAUGUCCCCCAUGACGUCUCAGAAGGCCACCAGAAACAGAAGCAGGGCACGGGAGGGUGUCAGCCAGGUGGCAGUCUCCUUCCCCAGGCACAGAAGACAGGCGAGAAGUUAUGGGAGAGCUGUCCAGAGGGGGGCCUGAGCUCCAAGAUGCCCCUCCAGCUGGGGCCCGACACAGCUCCGCCCCAGAGGCCCCAUCCAUCCUUCUCCAGUGGCAGCCCAGAUCCUGCAGCUCCUGAAGGGCAAGCUGGUGGUGGGCCACGACCUGAAGCACGACUUCCAGGCGCUGAAGGAGAACAUGAAUGACUACUCCGUUUAUGACACGUCGGUGGACAGGCUGCUGUGGCGGGAGGCCGGCCUGCAGGACUGCGAGCGCGUCUCCCUCCGCGUGCUCAGCGAGCGUCUCCUCGGCCGGAGCAUCCAGCCUUGAGAGGCCGUGUGCUUGCCAGCGAGGAGGGGCGCUGGCCUCGGGGUUCCCCAGCAGCCGGCCCUGGACGAGGACCCGAGCGCAGGUUCAUUCCAGAGGUGACCCCGGGGACGUGCUGGUGGAGCCCAGCGCCCAAUAUAUCGGUCUUGUUUGUUUUUAAACUCCAGCCAGUUACUCUGUGGAUAACUGAAGUUUUUUUCUUUAAUGUUUAUUUAUGUUUGAGAGAGAGCCAGUGUGAGCGGGGAAGGGGCAGAGAGAGAGGGGGGUAAGGGACAGAGGAUCCCAAGCGGGCUCCGUGCUGACAGCAGAGAGCCCAAUGCGGGGCUCGAACUCACUAACCUUGAGGUCCUGACCUGAGCCCACGCUUAACCAACUGAGCCACCCAGGCGCCCCGAUAACUGACGUUUAAUCCCACUGCGGGCCUCUGGAAUAGGGUAAAACGCAGCCCUCAGAUCUUUUCCAGGGAGCGGCGGUAUUUACACACAGCUCCCAGCAGGCAGGGCAGCUGCUGCUCCCGGAGCCCCCAUUUCUCGGCACUCCUAGGCUCCGGCGAGGCCCAGAAGGGGGGGUCCUUGGGGGCUCACGGAGGUGGCAGGGCCGAGGGAGGUGGGCCCGACACCAGCAGCCACGGGUCCACGUGGGGGAGGUAUUUAUUAGCACCUACUCUGUGCCGGGCUGGUCAGGAUGCUGGAGACGCAGGGCUGAGCAGGGCUGAGCAGGGCUGGCCUUGUGCUUGAGGAACUCCUGGGUUGAGGGAGGGUGGCCCAUUAGCCCGGAGGGAUGAAGGAAAGCAGGUCUGCAGGAAUCUGGAGGGCGAGUCUUAGUGGAGGAGGGCGGGGAGGGGAGGGCACCAGGAACUGGGGAGGGAGCAGGGGACGAGCCUGAUUUUGGACCCCUCCCUUAGCCUUGUGGCACGCAGGACGGAGGACAGAAUACACAGCACGUGGAUUCACCCAAGUGCUGAGCAAGUAGCAUUUAGAAACAUCAUUUUGGCAUUUAAAAACAAAAUUUUUUAACAUAUAUUUAUUUUUG